rfam:Rhizobium oryziradicis strain N19 scaffold3, whole genome shotgun sequence.
UGUAAAUACCCUCCUUGGGUGUUUCCUCCCUAGAUUUGAGCCGCGCUUCGUGCGCGGUUUUUUUUGCGCAAA